rnacentral:lncRNA from 1 species
GGGGCCCUACAUAUGUGAAUUCACGACCAAUUGAUUGAUUGGUUGAUUUACUUGCCAUGCGUGAUUGUUUUGCCAUGUUCCAUGAUAUGUAUAUAAUCAACCUGUGUUUGUUCACUAACCCCAUUCCCUGAUAGCGCUUUGUCGUUUGCUGCUAAGGUACACAUUCUCUCUUACUCUGUCCAUUCCUUAUGCAUGCUUUGAUUCUCAUAUGUACAUGAUAUUUCC